GAUGAACGCUAGCGGCAGGCCUAAUACAUGCAAGUCGAACGGUAAGUCGGGUAGCAAUACCUGACCUAGAGUGACGUACGGGUGCGUAACACGUAUGCAACCUACCCAUAACAGGAGGAUAGCUCGGGGAAACCCGGAUUAACCCUCCAUAAUAUCAUUGACCGGCAUCGGUUGAUGAUUAAACUCCGGUGGUUAUGGAUGGGCAUGCGUCUGAUUAGCUAGUUGGCGGUGUAACGGACCACCAAGGCGAUGAUCAGUAGGGGAACUGAGAGGUUGAUCCCCCACACUGGCACUGAGAUACGGGCCAGACUCCUACGGGAGGCAGCAGUAGGGAAUAUUGGUCAAUGGAUGCAAGUCUGAACCAGCCAUGCCGCGUGCAGGAAGACGGCCCUAUGGGUUGUAAACUGCUUUUGCCAGGGGAUAAAACAGCUCUGCGGAGCAAAUUGAAGGUACCUGGUGAAUAAGCCACGGCUAACUACGUGCCAGCAGCCGCGGUAAUACGUAGGUGGCAAGCGUUGUCCGGAUUUAUUGGGUUUAAAGGGUGCGUAGGCGGCCUUAUAAGUCAGUGCUGAAAUACCCCGGCUUAACCGGGAGGGUGGCAUUGAUACUGUAGGGCUUGAGUAGAAUUGAGGUUGGCGGAAUUGACGGUGUAGCGGUGAAAUGCUUAGAUAUCGUCAAGAACACCGAUAGCGAAGGCAGCUAACUAAACUCUAACUGACGCUGAGGCACGAAAAGUGUGGGGGAUCAAACAGGAUUAG
rnacentral:rRNA from 1 species